rnacentral:rRNA from 1 species
GAUGACCGCUGGCGGCGUGCCUAAUACAUGCAAGCUGAGCGAACAGACCCGGAUCUUGCUCCUCUGACGUUAGCGGCGGACGGGUGAGUAACACAUGGUUAACCUAUCUAUAUGACUGUGAUCACUUCGGAAAACCGCAGCUACUCCCGAACAAUAUAUUUAACCCCCUCGUUUACUCAUCUUAGACGAUUUUCUUGUCUCACCUCGUUCUCCCCGCUCUUCAUUAGCUACUUGGUAAGGUAACGGCUUACCAAGGCAACGAUGCGUAGCGGACCUGAGAGGGUGAUCGGCCACACUGUAACUGAGACACGGUCCAGACUCCUACGGGAGGCAGCAGUAGGGAAUCUUCCGCAAUGGGCGAAAGCUUGACGGAGGAACGCCGCGUGAGUGAUGAAGGUCUGCGGAUCGUAAAACGCUGUUAUUAGGGAAGAACAAAUGUGUAAGUAACUAUGCACGUCUUGACGGUACCUAAUCAGAAAGCCACGGCUAACUACGUG